rnacentral:rRNA from 1 species
GAUGAACGCUGGCGGCGUGCCUAAUACAUGCAAGUCGAGCGAACAGACGAGGAGCUUGCACCUCUGACGUUAGCGGCGGACGGGUGAGUAACACGUGGAUAACCUACCUAUAAGACUGGGAUAACUUCGGGAAACCGGAGCUAAUACCGGAUAAUAUAUUGAACCGCAUGGUUCAAUAGUGAAAGACGGUUUUGCUGUCACUUAUCGAUGGAUCCGCGCCGCAUUAGCUAGUUGGUAAGGUAACGGCUUACCAAGGCGACGAUGCGUAGACGACCUGAGAGGGUGACAGGCCCCACAGGAACUGAGACACGGUCCAGAGUCCUACGGGAAGCAGCAGAAGGGAAUCUACCGCAAUGGGCGAAAGCCUGACGGAGCAAAGCAGCGUGAGUGAUGAAGGUCUUCGGAUCGUAAAACUCUGAUAUUAGGGAAGACCAAAUGUGUAAGUGACUAUGCACGUCUUGACGGUACCUAGUCAGAAAGCCACGGCUAACUACGUG